GUGGGGAAUAUUGCACAAUGGGCGCAAGCCUGAUGCAGCGACGCCGCGUGAGGGAUGGAGGCCUUCGGGUUGUAAACCUCUUUUAUCGGGGAGCAAGCGAGAGUGAGUUUACCCGUUGAAUAAGCACCGGCUAACUACGUGCCAGCAGCCGCGGUAAUACGUAGGGUGCAAGCGUUAUCCGGAAUUAUUGGGCGUAAAGGGCUCGUAGGCGGUUCGUCGCGUCCGGUGUGAAAGUCCAUCGCUUAACGGUGGAUCCGCGCCGGGUACGGGCGGGCUUGAGUGCGGUAGGGGAGACUGGAAUUCCCGGUGUAACGGUGGAAUGUGUAGAUAUCGGGAAGAACACCAAUGGCGAAGGCAGGUCUCUGGGCCGUUACUGACGCUGAGGAGCGAAAGCGUGGGGAGCGAACAGGAUUAGAUACCCCGGUAGUCC
rnacentral:rRNA from 1 species